rnacentral:rRNA from 1 species
GACCCUACGGGGGGCAGCAGUGGGGAAUAUUGCACAAUGGGGGAAACCCUGAUGCAGCGACGCCGCGUGAGCGAUGAAGUAUUUCGGUAUGUAAAGCCCUAUCGGCAGGGAAGAAGAUGACGGUACCUGACCAAGAAGCCCCGGCUAACUACGUGCCAGCAGCCGCGGUAAUACGUAGGGGGCAAGCGUUAUCCGGAUUUACUGGGUGUAAAGGGGGCGCAGACGGCAAUGCAAGCCAGGAGUGAAAGCCCGGGGCCCAACCCCGGGACUGCCCUUGGAACUGCAUGGCUGGAGUACAGGAGGGG